UACGGAAGGCAGCAGUGGGGAAUAUUGCACAAUGGGCGCAAGCCUGAUGCAGCCAUGCCGCGUGUAUGAAGAAGGCCUUCGGGUUGUAAAGUACUUUCAGUCGUGAGGAAGGUGUUAAGGUUAAUAACCUUAGCAAUUGACGUUAGCGACAGAAGAAGCACCGGCUAACUCCGUGCCAGCAGCCGCGGUAAUACGGAGGGUGCGAGCGUUAAUCGGAAUUACUGGGCGUAAAGGGCACGCAGGCGGUUAAUUAAGUUGGAUGUGAAAUCCCCGGGCUUAACCUGGGAAUGGCAUUCAAGACUGGUUAGCUAGAGUCUUGUAGAGGGGGUAGAAUUCCAUGUGUAGCGGUGAAAUGCGCAGAGAUGUGGAGGAAUACCGGGUGGCGAAAGGCGGCCCCCUGGGACAAAAGACUGACGCUCAUGUGCGAAAGCGUGGGGAGCAAAACAGGAUUAGAUACC
rnacentral:rRNA from 1 species